UGAAACGGGCUUCUGGACCCACAGGCAAAGUUGUCCUAUAACCAUUCUGUAAAAAGACAUUUCUACCCAGCGAAUGGCCGGAGGCACUUUUGAGCUAGUGCCUGCUCAAAAGCACACGAGAGCGACUCCUGCCCCAGUAACAGCCGCGAGUGGCUACUCCGAUGGAAGUUCGGCCACAUUUACAUCCGUCUGGACCCGAACGAACGUACUCCUCGCGAUCGGCCUGCGGUGGCAGCGACGUUCCCAAAACUUGCUGCACUCCGUCCCCUCCGCGGAGCGACCGCACAGACUAGUGCUCUUGGCGCUGGGCAGUGCGGGGCCCGGCUGGGGGAGGGGAGGGGAAGCGGUCGGAGUACUUCCUAAUAUAUCAUUAAAACACGAAAGCAGAGGUUUGGGAGCGAGAAAAGUUAAAGGAGCGACCGGCUGACAAAGAAAAGCAGCUCCGGCUGCGUCCGUUUCCUGCUCCCCCGCCCAACCGGGCCGGGGGACCACCUGGCCGCGGCGUUUUGACAGCUCGGAGAGCGUCCCGGAGCCGAGCGCCUGGGAGCCGAGCGGGAGCCCGUCCGGCGACUACCCAGCUGUACUCCGGGCUCGUCUACUAAACGACCCGGCGAGGCCCAGGGGCAUCGACGAGAAAUUUCUCCAAAAAGAGAAGCCCCGGAACACACGGCGCCGAGGCCAAACUAAAAAGGGAGUGAAAAACAUGGAUUUGAAUUGGGAAAAACUAUUACGACCCAUCAACCAUUUGCAAAAGGAUUGGGGUAAACUAUCAUCUUACACGCUUAGACUCUAGGCCGGACACCCCGGGCACUUUCUGAUUAUGAUUUCUUUCCAUCUUCACAACAGUUCUGGUGUAAGCUCUCUUUAGACUUCACCUCACCCUGACCACCGUUCUUCCCAUGAUGAAGGUUGUGUGUCCCUCUGGAUGCUUCUACACCACCUGUGCUUUCCCCAUCACAGCUCUCAUGCCCUGUAAUGAACUGCCCACUUAACCGUCUGUAUCCCAGCCUAAGCCCACUGGAGACGACACUAGCUGUCUGCCUUAUUCACCUUCUAUCCGUAUUACUCAGCAGUGGCUCCACAGAGUUGUUGAAUAAGUGAAAUAAAUGGGAAAGUGUAUGUUACUUUCAAGAAAAAGAGCUAAGAUGAUCCCUUACAGGAGUCUACUUGAAAAAAGAAACUGUAACUUUAUAGACAAGGUAUACAUGAAUACUUUGCUACAUUUUGUGUUGUUAUAGUUUACUUUUCUAUAAGGGAACAGGCAAGUCCUCUUUGCCCCCUACAACCAACGUUUGUUAUGUGACACUCCUCUCAGUAUUACUGGCUUUCAGAAGCCUGGACAUGGAGGAUCACGCCUUUUCUAAUGGAGUCUCUAAAAUCAAGAGGUCAAACUAGUUGUCCACGGGGAAUUCCCUGGCGGUCCAGUGGUUAGGACUGUGCACUUCCACUGCAGGGGGCACAGGUUUGAUCCCUGGUCGGUGAACUAAGAUCCUGCAUGCCGCAAGGCUCAGCCAAAAAAAAAAAAAAAAAGUUGUCCACGG